rnacentral:rRNA from 1 species
AUUGAACGCUGGCUGCAGGCCUAACACAUGCAAGUCGAACGAGUGGCGGACGGGUGAGUAAUGUCUGGGAAACUGCCCGAUGGAGGGGGAUAACUCCUGGAAACGGUAGCUAAUACCGCAUACCAUCGGAUGUGCCCAGAUGGGAUUAGCUCGUGGGUGGGGUAACGGCUCACCUAGGCGACGAUCCCUAGCUGGUCUGAGAGGAUGACCAGCCACACUGGAACUGAGACACGGUCCAGACUCCUACGGGAGGCAGCAGUGGGUAAAAUUGCACAAUGGGCGCAAGCCUGAUACAGCCAAGCCGCGUGUAUGAAGAAGGCCUUCGGGUUGUAAAGUACUUUCAGCGAGGAGGCGUUACUCGCAGAAGAAGCACCGGCUAACUCCGUGCCAGCAGCCGCGGUAAUAC